rnacentral:rRNA from 1 species
CAGUAGCCGCGGUAAUACAGAGGGUGCGAGCGUUAAUCGGAUUUACUGGGCGUAAAGCGUGCGUAGGCGGCUUCUUAAGUCGGAUGUGAAAUCCCUGAGCUUAACUUAGGAAUUGCAUUCGAUACUGGGAAGCUAGAGUAUGGGAGAGGAUGGUAGAAUUCCAGGUGUAGCGGUGAAAUGCGUAGAGAUCUGGAGGAAUACCGAUGGCGAAGGCAGCCAUCUGGCCUAAUACUGACGCUGAGGUACGAAAGCAUGGGGAGCAAACAGGAUUAGAUACCCCAGUAGUCCCUGUCUCUUAUCC